rnacentral:lncRNA from 1 species
GUUUCCUUGUUAAAGAUUUGGUGACAACCUCGCUUUUCCUUCCUAUAUUAGGUCGUGGUGAUGGGCCUGGCUGAGGCCUACCGUGCCAACGGCGGCCCGCUGGGUGAGGGCCUGGACCCCCUGCACCCCGGUGGCGCUUUCGAUCCGCUGGGCCUGGCUGACGACCCGGACACCUUCGCUGAGCUCAAGGUCAAGGAGAUCAAGAACGGCCGCCUGGCCAUGUUCUCCAUGUUCGGCUUCUUCGUGCAGGCCAUCGUGACCGGCAAGGGCCCGAUUGAGAACCUGUCUGACCACCUGGCUAACCCCAGCGCCGUCAACGCCUUCGCCUACGCCACCAAGUUCACUCCUUCCGCGUAAAUGGUAUCCCAUCGUCUGUUGAUUCGGGAAGUUGUAUAAAGGUCGGCAGUCAUUUGCGGAUGAGCUGUCUGCUCGGAUUAACUCUUGAGCAUGAGGGUUUUGUAUCAUAUGGCGUGUGCUGGUAUAGCUCUGGACCAAUAUCCAAUAGUUUUGGUCUUGUGCUUUUAGUGACUGGAUGUAUUUUUGGCGGUUAACAAUUUCAUUGCAAACCAACUUAAAAUCCAAUCAUUUCUGUAAACAAAAUAAGCUUGUCUCGUGAUGUCAAGUUCCUUGAAAUCUGGUUUUGGCACUGUUCAUAACCUGACCUAAUUGGCAACUGUUGACCAACGGCUAUCUCAAUACAGUACGCUAGUGCAAAAUACUUCAUUCCUGUUGACAGCCAAAGUAUAUUUCCUACCAAUUUCUUAUCCCCUUAUGAACUGCUGAAUACUCGGACAAAUACUACAAAGUUGCAACGAUAUUACCUUAAACUUCUCUUUAGUACGCGGGGAAUAAGACAGAAUUUUGUGCUAUCGUCCCACUUGAGCAGAAAUCUCGUCUUCCGCCAUAAUUACUAACGAUGUUAUCUCCGACAUUUGGGCCCGUUUAACUGCAUUUGCGGCGCGGGAUUACUUGCCAAAACGUUGGGAACACGUGCCUCACAAAACCACAAAACCUUUCUUACACGUCAACAAGGCAGACAUGGUUGUUUGCCGCUUACCGAUGUACCAUAACGAGGGCUUUAGGGUUUUAGGCUCACGUCAUUAUUAGGCUCACGUCGGAGCCUAAUAAUUUUUGUAUGAGCGUACUAACUGAGGCCUUGUGAAUGCGAUUGUUACAGUGGACCCCGAACGGGUCGAGUGCAGCGUCCCUCGGAACGCCUCCCGCACAACACCGUGGGCCUUAUUCAAAAAGAACUCGACCACGCCGUACUAACUUCACUGGACAGAAGGCCGCAGUUAGUACACUCAUACAGAAAAUAUGAGGCUCUGACGUGAGCACUCAGACCUCGUCAUUGUACAUCGGUAAGCGGCAAACAGCCAUGUCUGCGUUGUUGACAUUUAAGAAAGGUUUUGUGGUGUGAGGAACGUGUUCCCAGCGUUUUGGCAAGUAAUCCCGUGGUGCAAAAGCAGUUAGACGGGCCCAAAAGUCAGAGAUAACAUCGUAAGUCAUGCGGUUAAGCGUUGACGUAGAUACGGCCAUGUUGGCCUGAAGACCUUCCCUAAACAACAAAGGCGACCGAGAUUGAGUGAGCUGAUGGCCGCGAGGCAUACAACCUCCCACACACACCCAUAAACCGAGGUCGGUGGAAUGCCCAACCACAAGUUAGCCCGGUUAAAAAGGUCUGGAAACUCUAGUUCGUUCGCCUUGUGACCAGUGAAGUUAGUACGGCCUGGCCGAGUUCCUAGGGGCGCUGCACUCGACCCGUUCGGGGUCCACUGUAACAAUCGCAUUCACCAUCACAGAACAUUAGAAACGUAAAAGUCAGCUAUCACAAAACUUCGUUGUCCAAGACAGUUUGAGUUAGCACUGGCUACGUGGUCAACUCUAUUGAAGCGUAAUAACAUAUCGGUAUCAACGCAUAUCUAUUGCAGGAGAACCACAUCGCUCCAUCUCUCGGAAAGAGACUAUCGUCGCAAGCUCCGCAGAUGUCUAUCGCGAAGCGAACCAUUCUACAAAGUAAGAUCCGUAAUACAGUUAAAUAGGCUUUAGGUUCCGAAUAUGCAUCGUGACAGCCAACACAACGCACAUCCGUGUGAGCACAAAAAGGGCCAUAAAUGUUUUAACCUUCGCGAUAAUAAAUUGGUGAUAUGUUCAUCUACUUGGAUAAAUGAAGUAAACAAGAAGUCCUAUAUGAAUCGUAACAAGGACAAUAACUGUUUCAGCAUCAAAGAAUACUCCGAGGACAAAACCAAAGUAUUACAACUUAAAAGUAUGUUACACCUGUGAUACAUUCAUCGCUUAGGAAAGGGAAGCCGUAACCCUUAGCAAAGGCAGCUCGUACAAAUCUCUGGACGUACAAUCAGUCCGAUUCCCAGGCCUUAUGAGGUCCUAUGGCAAGGUCAAAAGCCAAAGUCGCAUCGUAAAUCGUUACACAGUUGCUCCCUUCUGUGUCCAUACAUUUCAUUCAGUAAAGAUGGCCGCUAUUGCGAAGUCCGCUGUGCGCAGCUCUGUGCGCCCGACUGUUGCCAGCCGGGUGAGUCGAGAUGCCUUUGGAACGUAGCAUCUUCAUUAGUCUUCCAAAUAUGAAGCUACUUUAGUCAAUCUUAGUAACCCGAUGUUCAUAUCCGAGAACUCGGGGUCGCUUCAGUAAUCCUACAGCUCUCGGAGUGCCUCGACUUUAACUGGGGAUCUGAUCUCUUUGACCCGUUCAGGCUGCCCGCGUGGUGCAACGUGCCGCUAUCGAGUGGUAUGGCCCUGACCGCCCGAAGUUCCUGGGUAAGUUUUCGCACAACCGAUGGUGCAGCGCAUCAAUUUAUGAUAGAAGUUUCUUCGUUCCAUAGUGACAAAUUAAUAGCUUAUGCUUUUCCUUAUGUAAUAUCCUGGUGUUCCUUUGUUAUCCUCAUGUAUUCCAAAGAUUUGUUGUUGGUCAUAACCGACCCGAUCCACUCUGAUGUAGAGAUAUUAUGACUUGGAUAUGCGCCUUAUUACCUGUACUUGUUUGACUCGGUGCAGGCCCGUUCUCUGAGGGCGAUGUUCCGUCUUACCUCACCGGCGAGUUCCCUGGCGACUACGGCUGGGACACUGCUGGUCUGUCCGCCGACCCGGAGACCUUCAAGCGCUACCGUGAGCUGGAGCUCAUCCAUGCUCGUUGGGCUAUGCUUGGCGCUCUGGGCUGUGUGACCCCCGAGCUGCUGUCCAAGUACGCUGGCGUUUCGUUCGGCGAGGCUGUCUGGUUCAAGGCUGGUGCUCAGAUCUUCGCUGAGGGCGGCCUGAACUACCUGGGCAACGAGAACCUGGUUCACGCUCAGUCCAUUAUUGCCACCCUGGCUUUCCAGGUGAAUAUGUUUCUUUUAAUCACUCUACCGUUUCAUGAGCAUGAAGAGUUUGAUGUAUAAGUAGCGAAUAAUAUGCGCAGCAUCGAUUUGCUCCGUUAUGCUUUCGGGUUUUGCGUACAUUGUCUAAGAAAAUGAUGGAAG